UCCCCGCCCCCUUCCCCUCCCUGGGACCGCCUGAGAGGGCGGAGAGGAGGCGCCGGGCCUGACGGUGGGGGAGGGUGUAGGGAAGGGGGCGGGCAUGGGCCGGGGGUGGAGUCGGGACUCGGGGGUAGUAGGGCGGGGGCCAGCUGGAGACCCGAGAAACCCCAGGGGGCAGGAGCCGCCCCGGCUUGUGUGCCGGGGCCGCCGCGGCCGCGGUGUCGGGGUACGGGUCGUGAGUGGCGGCACCGGCCGCCACGUGGCCGGGAGGAGAAAUGCAAACAAGGAAACCGGGGUGAAGGGGGAGGGGGGUGAGUCAUUGCGGCCCCACCCGGGAGGGAAAUCCGGGCUGGGGCCGCUUCCCGGCCGGGGGCGUCCUGCCUCCUGUUUCGGUUCAGGGUCUCGAACAACUCGGGGGAGGGACUGGGCUGCUUUCCCGUGGGGAAUCCCGCUGCCGAGCCUCCCCUCCCCAAGACACACACACGCACACACACGCACGGACGCGGGUGGGGAAAUUGAGGCCGGAGAAGAAGAGCGACUCUCCAGGAGGGAUGGAGGCCGGAGUUGUGGCGGAGCUGUGGAAAAGAGGGGGUUUUCGAGAACCACGCCCGCAGCCCGCUCCCCGGCUGCCGGGCGGCUGGAGGCUGAGCCUCGGGAUUCCAGAGUCCUCUGCAGGCUCUGGACCAAAGGCCCGUCGCCUUCCUGGGCUUCAGUGUCCACCACCGCGCAGAUGGCCCAGAGCCGCCCUCUUCGCCCCACUCCAGCUUCGGAGAAGGAGGGGAGACAGUGGCCCCUCACCGCGACACCGAAGCGCCCAGUAAUUGGUCAGGACAGGGAUGAGGGUUUUGAAGGGACUCGCACACCCCGCCCCCAGCCUCCUAGGACUCAGGUUUUUGGCCCAGUCGCUGUCCCUUGCAUUUUGCUGCUGUGCCUGCCUGAACUGGGGACUAGCCAUACCUCCUGUUUGAAACGCUGAGCCCCCAUCUCCCACCCGCGAUUAUUUUCUCAAAGACAGUUUAUAAUGGUGAUUAAAAUCUCAAUUUUAAUAUGUAUUUUAAAAUCCACCCAGGAGCUUAUGAAAAUGAAAGUUUUAUCCUCCCCGCUCCCCCCAAUUCAGAUUCCGUUCUAUUGGCAUGAAGUGGAAAAUCUGUAUUCUGAGCAAAUAUCCCAAGGUUGUCUGCUGGGUUCACAUUUUCAGAAAUGAUGGUGGAGUUUUUCAGGGGAGAGGGGGAACCUGAGAAUAAAUUUUGCUCCACACGGAAACCCAGCCACCAGCACCCCACCCCCCUCCACCAACACAUUCUGGGAAUUUGCGAGAAGGGAGAACAGCUUAGCUGUUGGCAGGAAAGAAUAACAGGCCGGGGGCACAGGGGUGCAUGCCGAAGUGAGUUGAGGGGAGCGGAAGUUUUAGGUUGCUGGGGCUAGUGACCUGAUCUAGAAGGUCUUACAGAGGAGUUCCAAGGGACUGGCAGUGGGGUCAGAAAGGGGUCCCCCAUUUUGUCUUUAUACCUGCCCUUACAUGGGCAGGUGGAAAAGGAGCUGGAAAGUGGAGCAGGACAUCUGCGUAGCUGCGGACCUCUCAGGAAGCCAUGAAAGCCUGUAGGUGCCUGGCAGCCUUCCAAGUGCUUCAUGUAUGUAAUCUCUGCUGCUUGAUACCCUGUGAACCCACACUACCCUUAUUCCCACUUUAUAUGCAUGGGGAAACUGAGGCUCCGAGGUAUUAAGUGACUGGCCAAGGUGACACAGCUAGCAAAUGAUGAGCUGGGGCUUCAGUCCAGGUUGCCAGGACCCACGUGUCCCCCAUGUUAUUCUGCAUUGUGUAUCCAUCGUAUUUGUUCUCCUAAUCUGGACUCUAUGCCUAAAAGAGAAAGCUGUGGAAAAAGAAAUUGAGCAUGCCUGCAGGGGUUGGGAGGUCCAAAGAAAGCCAUUCAAAUGGAUGCAAGUGGAAGUGUCUCAGACCCACUUUCCCCUUAGCUACGUUCUCCUUCAACACUACUCUUUCCUUGCUUUUCUUUUCUCUGGGCUCUUUCUCAUUUCCCCUCUCCUGGGAGACCUAGAGGUCUCCAUUCUCAUUACCUGAAGGCAAAGCCUCCUGCCCUCUCCUGCCCCCACCCCCAGGCAGCUGAUGGGCCCAGGAUUUUCCUGGUUUUUCCCUCUCCGGAUUCCUGAGUGAGGGCUGCCUGGUAGAAUGACCACACAACAGAUGUUUAAUCAGGGCUGAGGCCUGCAGGUGGCAGGGGACAAGGGGAGUGUGUCUGAGGAAGAUAUCCCAAGACAGACAGUGAGACAUCUUGGGAAACCAUCGUGCCCGCCCGGGGCACCCUCCACCCUCCCCUGACUGUCAUCAGAUGCCUGGAGUGUGUUAGGACAGAUCAGUGAUAACAGUUACCCUACCUCAGGCCCUGCUCUUGAUCCAUUAUAUACAUGCACAUUUUUAAUCAUUACAACAGUCCUAUGAGAUAGGUCUUAUUGUCAUCCCAUUUCACAGAUGAGGAAGUUGAGACACAAGAAAGUUAGAUGGCCUACCCAAGCUCCCCCAUAACUAGGAAAAUGGAGAGCAGUGGGUUCUACCCAAGCCAGCAGGAGUCCUGUAUGCUCUGUCAUUCUGCAAUCCUGCCUCUCAAAUACAUCGUCAGUUCCCACAAUGGGGAAAAAGCCUUUACCCAGAGUCACUCCCCACGUAGCUGGGUGCAUGGGCUCCAGAAGGAAGGGGAAGGAGAGGCACAUGAUGGAAGCUGAAGGGCAGGCCCCUUGUCCCAGUCUCCCCAUAUAAGGAACUCUCUGCUGGGGUCUGAGCCUCCUCUGCCCUGUUCCCUUCAGGAGGAUGGUAGAGGACUGCAGAGGCCCCCAGGAAUAAUGGAGGAGGGUGCACAGGUCAGGAGAGUUUCUGGCCCCCUGGUUUGGACUUGGCUCUCUCCCACCCACUGAGGUCUCUCUGCUGAGCUGUCUACUCUCCGAGCCCACAGCUUCCUGGAUCUUCCCAGGUGCCUCGUGGUAGGCAUGUCUGGACUCCUUCCUCCUGCUCUGCAUCUCCUCCCACUGCUCUCUGCUCCAGGAGCCCCACCAUUGCCUAAGCCACCAACUAGAUUCCUCCCUCUCUGCUUCCACAUCCAAUCAGCCAUGCCACAACUCUAUUACAUUCAGCCCUUAUGCCCUGGGGCCUGCCACUAGUGCUCUGGCCCAGGGUGACCUCUUCCAGCACUCACUACAUGCAGGGUGCUAGGUCACUUUUCAUCCCCAGAGCACUCUCUACUUGCAAGUGAGGACACUGAGGCACAGAGAGGUGCAGUAAGCUGCCUGCAGCCCCACAGUGGAGUUUGGUAGAGCCAGACCCAGGCAGCCAGACGGCCAAGCGCUCACUCCACCACUCUUGGGGACUGCCUCCCCACUGUGGCUUUCAGCCUCGCCCUCCUCACUGUCCUGUGCCAGGCUGCACGAAUCCUCAGUUCAUUCUGCCAUAUUUACCCGAGGGCCAGGAAUGUUGCUCUUAAACUAGGAACCCAGAAGGGAGCAGACCCCGGGCUGCAGGGCACAAGGCCCCGGGGCUGUGGGGGCAUAGGGCCAAGUGGAAUUUUCUUUAUCUCCUUAACACACCCAUCUGGUCAGGCCUCCCUCACCCAGCACAGUAUCUGAUGUAGAGAUUAGUAGUGGAAAUGAAAUGAAUGGGAACUGUGGGAGACCAGCUGGUGCCCACCAAGGGCCUGUACCCCCUCACCCCCACCCCAAUCCCUGGGGCCAGGGCGGGGGAGGGGCUGCUUUCCCCCCUGCCAGUGGUCUAGCUUCCGGGGCAUCUGGUUCCAUCUCCUUCCCUCCUCACUGCUUCCCUGCCACCUACUCUGUCCUCGGGUCCUGUGCAGCAGACUUAGCUCACAGCCUCAGCUCUGUCAUCUGAGGUUGGUUGGGGGGAUGGUCAGCAGGAGGUUAGAGGAAGUUUUAACUAAUGGCCCUCUAUGGGACUGCAGGAAAGGGCCAGGUUGGAAACCAGGGGAUGGAAGGGCUCUGCCUGGGAACCUGGGCCUGCUGCAGCCUCCCUCCGCAUCAUCGCUGGGAUUCUACCUGGGCCGUGGCCGAUUGACAAGGGAGAGGAACUUGAGCCUAAUACCCUCGUGGGGGCUCUGCCUCCUGGCCCUGGAAGGUUUCAAGUCCUCCCAGACCUGCCCAGGUACCUUGCUCUGAAGGUGGUUCCAGUUCAGUUCCCACCUCCCCUCCCUGCCCAUUCCUGGGGUGGGGGGCUGAGGUCCGGAGCUGGAACACUAAUGGGCAUGAAGCCAAACCUUCUCAGGACCAGCAGGUUCCAGCCCGGUGCUCAUGGGCCACUUUGACAGCAGUGGAGCAGGAGGAGAAGAGCAACGGGCUCCUGGCAAGUUGGGAGGGAAGGCUGGACAGGGCUGGGGACCGGGGACGAUCUGAUGGAGGCAGCAACAGGGACCCCAUCAUUUCCUGGAGGCAUAGUCUCCCGGCUGGUGCUCAGGCUAGUCAUGUGUGACGGGGGCAAGGAAACAAUCACUGAGCAGGCCCGUGGUGGUGACGGUGGUGGCCGGAGGGUGAGGAGAGGCUGGGAGAGCAGGAGGGAAGGCAGGGACAGGUCUGGAGCUGCGUGGGAGGGAACAGGCCUGCCUAGCAGGCAAAUGUGCUGUUCUAUGAAUGUGCAUGAAGUAGGAGCUGCUUUGUCUCAAGCUGCUGCUUUUCAAGGGCUGUGUGUGUGUGUGUGUGUGUGUGUGUGUCCCAAAUACCCAGGAGACCUGUAUCUGACCUUGAGUCAUUAGUGUAGGGAAGCAGCCACUCCAGGCCAGUUGUAGCCACGGCCCCUCAGGCUCUGAUCACCUCUCCUUCCCCCUCACCCCUGCAGCUCUGUCAGGACUCCCAGCCUACACUUGCCUUUGCCCCAGCACACACCACUCCUAGCCAUUCCCUGAGGCUGACCACCCACCCUACCUCCUCCCUCUUGCCUCUUCCCAGCAUUCCUGCCUUCCCUAGUCUCAAGCCCUCCAGUCUUCCAACCCAUCCUAAGCCCAUGGCCUUUGUUCUGCACCUACUUGACCCUCAUGUUCUAGACCCCGGCAGGAGCAGCUGCCGGAGCCCGAGGGGGUCUCCUGGGAGGGUCCCUGAUGCUGCUUGUGAAAUGCUCCAUUCUCUCUGGAUCUAGAACAUUGGCUGAGAAGGGAAAAGGAUGUGGAGAAUUAGAGGCCUCUUGAGGCCUGAAUCCUGAUUUCAUCUUCCCUGAUGCCCUUGGUUCUCCUUACGCCCAGGCGCCUCAGGCCUCAGCUGAAAGCAGGUACUUAGUGGGGCCCUCGGAGCCGGCUGCCCCCACGGCCUGCAAGGCCACACUCCUGGCGCUCACCACAGCCAACAUGAAAUCUCUUCUUAGUUAUGACUGUGUUUCUUCCUUCAAGGGAAUGUGAUCUCCCAAAUGGCAGGACCGGGCUUUGCUCUGUCAAGGCCACACAGACUUCACGCAGUCAGGACCUCAUGCACAGAAGAUCCUCAAGGGAGGUUUCUUGAAUUCAGCAGGCACCCCCAAACAACCGGGCGGCCCCAGCAGCUCACUUGGAGAAGCUCCGGCCGCGCGGCGCGGGUUCCGGGCACGGGCGGCCUCCGGCCGGGGAGGGCGCUGUGCC